GAUGAAGAACGUAGCGAAAUGCGAUAAGUAAUGUGAAUUGCAGAAUUCAGUGAAUCAUCGAAUCUUUGAACGCACAUUGCGCCCCUUGGUAUUCCGAGGGGCAUGCCUGUUCGAGCGUCAUUAUAACCCCUCAAGCUUAGCUUGGUGUUGGGGCCUGCUGUAAUAGAGCAGCCCUUAAAAUCAGUGGCGGUGCCAUUAGGCUCUAAGCGUAGUAAUUCUUCUCGCUAUAGGGUUCUGGUGGAUGCUUGCCAUUAACCUCUAAUUUUCUAUGGUUGACCUCAAAUCAGGUAGGACUACCCGCUGAACUUAAGCAUAUCAAUAAGCGGAGGA
rnacentral:misc_RNA from 1 species